AGCUCGGUGGUCUAGUGGUUACGACGUCAGGCUAGAUACCUGAAGGUCGUGGGUUCGAUUCCCACCCGAAUCA
rnacentral:tRNA from 1 species